rnacentral:rRNA from 1 species
AAUUCGAUGCAACGCGAAGAACCUUACCAAGGCUUGACAUAUAGAGGAACGUCUGGAAACAGUCGCCCCGCAAGGUCUCUAUACAGGUGGUGCAUGGUUGUCGUCAGCUCGUGUCGUGAGAUGUUGGGUUAAGUCCCGCAACGAGCGCAACCUCGUUCUAUGUUGCCAGCACGUAAUGGUGGGAACUCAUGGGAUACUGCCGGGGUCAACUCGGAGGAAGGUGGGGAUGACGUCAAAUCAUCAUGCCCCUUAUGUCUUGGGCUUCACGCAUGCUACAAUGGCCGGUACAAAGGGCUGCAAUACCGUAAGGUGGAGCGAAUCCCAAAAAGCCGGUCCCAGUUCGGAUUGAGGUCUGCAACUCGACCUCAUGAAGUCGGAGUCGCUAGUAAUCGCAGAUCAGCAACGCUGCGGUGAAUACGUUCCCGGGUCUU